GACGAACGCUGGCGGCGUGCCUAAUACAUGCAAGUCGAGCGGACAGAAGGGAGCUUGCUCCCGGAAGUUAGCGGCGGACGGGUGAGUAACACGUGGGCAACCUACCCUGUAGAUCGGGAUAACAUCGAGAAAUCGGUGCUAAUACCGGAUAAUCAUUUGAAGUGCAUGCUUCGAAUGUAAAAGAUGGCUCCGGCUAUCACUACGGGAUGGGCCCGCGGCGCAUUAGCUGGUUGGUAAGGUAAUGGCUUACCAAGGCAACGAUGCGUAGCCGACCUGAGAGGGUGAUCGGCCACACUGGGACUGAGACACGGCCCAGACUCCUACGGGAGGCAGCAGUAGGGAAUCUUCCGCAAUGGACGAAAGUCUGACGGAGCAACGCCGCGUGAGUGAUGAAGGUUUUCGGAUCGUAAAGCUCUGUUGUUAGGGAAGAACAAGUGCCGUUUGAAUAAGGCGGCACCCUGACGGUACCUAACCAGAAAGCCACGGCUAACUACGUGCCAGCCGCCGCGGUAAGAC
rnacentral:rRNA from 1 species